UACGUAGGGGGCAAGCGUUGUCCGGAUUUAUUGGGCGUAAAGAGCGUGUAGGCGGCUUUACAGGUCCGUUGUGAAAACUCGAGGCUCAACCUCGAGACGCCGGUGGAAACCGUAAGGCUAGAGUCCGGAAGAGGAGAGUGGAAUUCCUGGUGUAGCGGUGAAAUGCGCAGAUAUCAGGAGGAACACCCGUGGCGAAAGCGGCUCUCUGGGACGGUACUGACGCUGAGGUGCGAGAGCGUGGGGAGCGAACCGG
rnacentral:rRNA from 1 species